GGGGGAUGUACCCAAGGGGAUCAAGGC
rnacentral:tRNA from 2 species